CAGCUGGCUUGCAUGUGCUAAAAUGCAAGUUAUUGUUUAUUUGCAAUGUACUCAGAAUUUAACUUGUUAACUGGACCUAUUUUAGACAGUGUUCCCAAAAAUAGAAGAAACAAUAACUAUUAGAAAUAAUCUCAUUUGUAAUCAUUUGCUUUGAAUCGGGGAUAGUUUGUAUUGUCUUUGAAGCUUUGGCUACAUAAAUAUUGAUUAAUAAAUAGCAGCAUAAAUAAAUAAACUGCAAGGAG
rnacentral:misc_RNA from 1 species